rnacentral:rRNA from 1 species
UACGAAGGGGGCUAGCGUUGUUCGGAAUCACUGGGCGUAAAGCGCACGUAGGCGGAUGUGCCAGUCAGGGGUGAAAUCCCGGAGCUCAACUCCGGAACUGCCUCUGAUACAGCACGUCUUGAGUUCGAGAGAGGUGGGUGGAAUUCCUAGUGUAGAGGUGAAAUUCGUAGAUAUUAGGAAGAACACCAGUGGCGAAGGCGGCCCACUGGCUCGAUACUGACGCUGAGGUGCGAAAGCGUGGGGAGCAAACAGG